rnacentral:lncRNA from 1 species
ACAGCAGGGCAAAUGUGGGGUUGUUUUUCCCUGUGCACGUCAGAUCAAGGUCUUAUAAAUGAAAAUUCUAGACUUGCCAAUAUGUCAAGUAAUAUAGCCAAUUUAUUAAUUUGUUCGAUAAAAGGUGAGCAAGUUUUGCAGCACGCUGGGUGCCUUGAGGAUCUCUACCUUAAGCAACGCACAAAUUCAGGUCUCAGAGGGUCGGAAAGCUGCUUGUAAACCAGGAUCUCUUAUUUAAAUGCGUGUGAUCCGCAGUCUCCCGAGAGAAGGUGACCCCUGCGUGCCGGGCUGCAGAGUGACCAGGAUCCAGACAGAAGCUGGUGUCCUCCUGACACACGAAGGAGCCUGGAAUCCACAGACAUGUUAAACUACAGGAAUACUUGCAUGCCUUUUACUCUUCUGAAGCAGGACCCACAUUCAGUCUUUUUAGAAAUGAUCCCUCGAACUGUAUCAACAAUUUGUGGUUUAAGCUCAAGGAAGGGUGUCAUUUCUUGGAGCCCCUAGGGGAAUGGUGAAGUUUCAAAGGUCUUUCCGCAGCUUUUGCUGGUCCUCUCCAAGAUGAGAGAUAUUGAAAACAUUCAUAGCACCCAAAAUGAUGAAUGAAACAUGCAAUAUUUUGUGAAAUAAAAAUUGUGAAUAAAACA